AUCUGCUUGGAUUUUGAUGCUUGGUAUUGACUUCUAUUCAUGCUUCUGUCGUUUUGCAUUCAUUAAAAUUUAGUUCCACCGGAAUCGUCGCCACAAAUUUACGGUGAAGUAACAGAGUUUGGGGAUAAUCUCACUCUGCGAUGCUCAUCGGCGAAGUCCAAACCAGCUGCCAAUCUCAGCUGGUAUGUCAACGAUGUCUUGAUGGAUUCCGGAAUUAUCCGUGAUACUCAGGAGAUCGUGAGGCAUCCAGAUCAGCUGGAGUCUUCGUCAUCAUUCAUCAACAUACCCCUCACCUCCCAUCAUCUGCCGCCAGGAGAUAUUAGACUCACGUGCGCAGCCUCCAUCGCAGACGUUGUCACCUCCGUCAGUGAGGAGCUUCUCAUUAACAGACCGAUGCCCGAGAAGGUUCUCGAGCUGAAGAACGCCGCCUGGCUCCUCACAGCGUCUCACUUAGUCACCAUGCUCAUCACCAUCAUGCUUCAUAUCUUGAUGAGAACAUGCUGUGUUUAGUUCGAAAUGAUCGUUUGUUAUUUAUUCUUGCGUGUGUGUGUGUGCAUGUUCUUGAAGCUCAAAUUAAAGUUUCUUUUUAUCGUCAUUUCCUUACCUUUAUUUACAAUAUUACGCAAUUUUUCAUUAUUAAUUCAAUUUCUUCUGACAUGUGGAAACGUAAAGGACAUCUUUUGUACACUGCACAAACA